rnacentral:rRNA from 1 species
UACAGAGGUCUCAAGCGUUGUUCGGAUUCAUUGGGCGUAAAGGGUGUGUAGGUGGCGCCGUAAGUCGGGUGUGAAAUUUCGAGGCUUAACCUCGAAACUGCAUUCGAUACUGCGGUGCUUGAGGACUGGAGAGGAGACUGGAAUUCAUGGUGUAGCAGUGAAAUGCGUAGAUAUCAUGAGGAACACCGGUGGCGAAGGCGGCAUCCUGGACCAACACUGACACUGAGGAGCGAAAGCCAGGGGAGCAAACGGG